CAACCCUACCCAAAAAAAGAAAGGGAAAAAUUUAAACUCAGAAGUCAGCACAGAUUCUCCUAAACGGAGGUCCAAACAAAAACUGUUGCUCUCUUUGGAAAUCUCCUGUCUCGUAUGAAUUUCUUCAUUAGAGGUUUCUGAAGCGAGUUUUUCCCAACUUAGGCCAGUUGCUUUGAGGUCUACGUUCUUCAAUCACCAAAGGGCUUCACUACUCCUGUUUCUGAAGCAAAUUUUUCCAAACUCAGGCCAGUUGCUUGGAGGUCUACUGUCUUCAAUCACCAAAGGGGCUUCACUAUUGGAGUUGAAUCGAAGAAAGACAUUGGCGCCCUAAACACACUAUGUAGCAUGGUCAUGAAGAGUUUCUGUGAUGUCAAGAUGCCGGCUGUUGCCACUAGCAACAUGCGGGACAAUAUACAAAUUGCACUUCCU